rnacentral:rRNA from 1 species
UACGUAGGGUGCGAGCGUUAAUCGGAAUUACUGGGCGUAAAGUGUGCGCAGGUGGCCGCGCAUGUCGAGUGUGAAAUCCCCGGGCUUAACUUGGGAAUUGCGCUCGAAACUACGUGGCUCGAGUGUGGCAGAGGAAGGUGGAAUUCCACGUGUAGCGGUCGAAAUGCGUAGAGAUGUGGAGGAACACCGAUGGCGAAGGCAGCCUUCUGG